CUUGUAUGAAAAGAAGAAGACUUCUAGGAAGCAGCGGAAGGAGCGUAAGAACAGGAUGAAGAAAGUCAGGGGCACAGCCAAGGCAAAUGUUGGUGCUGGCAAGAAGAAGAAAUGAAGUAUCUAGCAGGUACUGAAAACGAGCAUGGGUGUGGUGACUGAAUUAUACAUCACUGAAACACGUGCCCAUCCUUUUAGUUGAAGCGCUGUACUGCCUUGCAUGCGUGCAUGUUUGUUUUAAGCUUGGUUCUGUCCUGUAAGGGUUCAGGUCACUACAUGAUGAACUUUAUUCUGUGUGACUUAGAAAUAAAAUUUGGCUAAUAGC